AAGUCACUGUGGCUCUUUAUAGAGUUAAUGUAUAGCUCUGUGGGAAGCUGCUGUCAGUGAGGUGAAGAUGUUGGUUUGCUUGUAUGGCUUGUCAUGUUGAAACCAAGGAAAGAAAACCAGAAGAUUCUCAAGGAAAAUUAUGCACAGUGGAAGAGAUGGAAUUAUUUAUGUGGGACUCAAUUCCUAGAUGCCUAUAGACUACCAAGUAUGUGAACACAAAACCAAGACAUUGUAAUGUCUCAUCUCUAAGGAGGCAGGAGUUUUGAAGAUUGAAGAAAGAGCAACAUCAGAACAGUAAUCAUCUUCCUUGUCAAAUCCUAGGUUAGGCUUGCAUUAACCAAGGCUCUAAAAGAUGCAUUCAGUUUUUAAGCACUAGGGUUAAGCCUCUUUUCCCCCCGACUCCUUCCAUUUGGAAAAAAAACUUAAGCAUGUAUUUCAUGUUCAAAUAAAUGGAUGAUAUUUAGUUAUGUGCUCAGAUCUAGGCAUGUCCAUAAGCGCUGUGCUAGCCCAGAAUCCUGGGCAAGUCUGUGGUUUGAGCCAGUGCAAGUCUGUCCUUCAUGCUCUAUUAUGACUCUGUCUGUACCCUAGUAUGAUCCAGAAUAUUUUUUUCACCCUUUCUUCUUCCAUCAUUUGACAUCUGCCUUCAGGAAUAAAUCUAUGUGCUUCCUGUAGUUCUUUGGAAACUUACGCAGUAAAUCGUGAUAAAACCUACAUUAUCAACACAUCUGCUAGUUAGAUUCCUUAAGAAAAGCAUCCAGUCAGUUAAUCCAGGAAGAUUAAUUUUGCUUUCAUGUUAAAAUGCAAGAUUCAUUAAUGACAUAGAAAAAAAGCCUGCAUCUAGUUAAUUAGUUGAAUGACGGUCAUCCAUAUCUAUCGCCGGUGGCAGACAGCUGAAGUUGUUAAGUCCAGGAAAAUAAAUUUACUCCCAACACCAAAGUAUUAAUGAGCUCAGGAAGGCCACUUGUAGUCCCAGGAAGUAUGACAAAGAUGUGAAAUAUUUUAAUGUGCUAGUAUGAUGGUCUAUUUGGUGGAUAGACUUAAAGAACAGAAUUCACAGUUUUAAU